AUGGCCUUGGAGUUGACCGCCCCAUGUCAAGCUACGCGAGCUCAAUCACAACCGAUCUAUGACACAGAAGAUCAUGAGCUAACAGCUCUAUAUAUAUGGAAGUCCGGGUGCCCUAGGAACGUGAAUCUGGCACCAUGCGACGACUCCACCAGCAGUAGAAGCGUGGCUGUGUCGAUCAAACUGGCGGCGGCGACCAACGGCUCCGACAAGGAGGCACCACCCCGCCUCUCGACUGACGUCGUGAUCGAAUUCGGCGACACCGUCAACAAGUGCAAGCAGCGUCUCCAGUGGUACAUCGGCGCAGAUGGCAGGGACCAAAAGUUCAUUUUUCGCGUCGAGAGGCAUCACGGCGCAUACAAGCUGACAUCGUGCUACGCCCCGGGGUGCAAACAUGAGCCGUGA
rnacentral:rRNA from 1 species